rnacentral:rRNA from 1 species
UACGUAGGGAGCAAGCGUUGUCCGGAAUCAUUGGGCGUAAAGCGCGCGUAGGUGGCCCCAUAAGUCCGCUGUGAAAGUCAAAGGCUCAACCUUUGAAAGCCGGUGGAUACUGUGGGACUAGAGUGCGGGAGAGGAAAGUGGAAUUCCUGGUGUAGCGGUGAAAUGCGUAGAUAUCAGGAGGAACACCGGUGGUGUAAACGGCUUUCUGGACCGUAACUGACGCUGAGGCACGAAAGCGUGGGGAGCAAACAGG